AGAGAUGGGGUUUCACCAGUUUGCAGGAUGGUCUCUAUCUCCUGACCUUGUGAUCCACCCCACCUCAGCCUCCCAAAGUGCUGGGAUUGCAGGUGCGAGCCACGGGUCCAGCCUCUCAGGCGAUUUUCAUACCUGCAUACUUCAUCACUACUUCUGUAAACAGCAAGGAGGGUAGUAUUAUCUGUCAGAUUUCCAGAGCUCUGGUCUCUGUAAAGCCCUCUUCCUCCUCAAUAUUCUGCCUAUGAAUUCUAGCCACAUGGCCUUGCCCAGACUCACAGUUCUUCUUCAACUCAGGAAGAUCUCUGAGCUCCAUCUGCAUUCUUUCUUCCUGUGCUGUGGCCUGGAAAGUUUUCUAAGGUGUUUGGGAGCUGAGUGCCACGUGCUGACAUCACUAAGAUCAAUACAGCAAACUCUGAAAGAUGGACAGAGAGACAGGAGAUCGUCCUUUGUAAUUCAGUGUGAUCUGUGCUGCAAUAGAGUUUUGGAAGCUAGAAGUUCAAAAUGAGGUUUUGGCAGCACCAUGCUCUCUCUGAAGAUGCUAGGAAGAAUCUGCUCCAUGCCUUUCCAUUCGCUUCUGGGGUUUCCUGCAAGCCCUGACAUUCCUUGGCUUGUAGAUGCAUCACCCCAGUUUCUGCCCCCAUCAUCACAUGGCCUCCUCUCUGCGUGUGCCUCUGCGUUCCCUCUAUUCUUCUUCUAAGGACACCGACACCAGUCAUAGUGGAUUAAGGAUCCACUCCUAACUAAUUACAUCUGCAACAACCGUAUUUCCAAAUAAAGUCACAUUCUAAGAUUCCUAGGGAGAACAUGAAUUUUUGGGGGUGUGUGGAUACUGUUCAACCUGGGACAUGGAGUAAAUAAAUGGCAAGGAAGAUUACAGAUGACUUUAAGCUAAAGAGGGAGAUAGGGUUAAAUGUAGGACUUUUUUUUUUUUUCCAGGACGG
rnacentral:lncRNA from 1 species